rnacentral:rRNA from 1 species
AACCCUGACCGAGCAACGCCGCGUGAGUGAAGAAGGUUUUCGGAUCGUAAAGCUCUGUUGUAAGAGAAGAACGAGUGUGAGAGUGGAAAGUUCACACUGUGACGGUAACUUACCAGAAAGGGACGGCUAACUACGUGCCAGCAGCCGCGGUAAUACGUAGGUCCCGAGCGUUGUCCGGAUUUAUUGGGCGUAAAGCGAGCGCAGGCGGUUAGAUAAGUCUGAAGUUAAAGGCUGUGGCUUAACCAUAGUACGCUUUGGAAACUGUUUAACUUGAGUGCAGAAGGGGAGAGUGGAAUUCCAUGUGUAGCGGUGAAAUGCGUAGAUAUAUGGAGGAACACCGGUGGCGAAAGCGGCUCUCUGGUCUGUAACUGACGCUGAGGCUCGAAAGCGUGGGGAGCAAACAGGAUUAGAUACCCUGGUAGUCCACGCCGUAAAACAUGAGUGCUAGGUGUUGGGUCCUUUUCCGGGACUCGUGCCGCAGCUACGCUAAGCCUCGCCUGGGGAGUACGACCGC